rnacentral:rRNA from 1 species
AACGAACGCUGGCGGCGCGUCUUAAGCAUGCAAGUCGGGCGGCAAGGACAGCAAUGUCCCUAGAGCGGCGGACUGGUGAGUAACACGUGGGUGAUCUACCCUAUGGUUGGGGAUAGCCUGUGGAAACACAGGGUAAUACCGAAUAUGGUUGGCGGACUGAGGUCCGGCAAAGAAAGGAGCUACGGCUCCGCCAUGGGAUGAGCCCGCGGCCCAUUAGCUAGUUGGGGGUGUAACGGACCACCAAGGCGAUGAUGGGUAGCCGGCCUGAGAGGGUGAACGGCCACACUGGGACUGAGAUACGGCCCAGACUCCUACGGGUGGCUG